CAUUAGGCGCGUGCGUGCGUGCGUGUUGGUAGAGAGGGGAUUCAGUUCAGGCAUGGCACAAAUUACACUCUUCAAUCUCUCUGUCUGGACUGGGUGGGAUCCGUGAUUUCAACAGAACUAGACUUCACAGCUAUGGAUCCUGACGACAUGGACGAAGAUCAACUGCUUGAUUACGCUAUUCAGAUGAGCAUUCAAGAGUCAUGCCCCAAAUAUUAUUAUCAUCUUUAGAGAGUGAUGAACAUCUGAAGAUCCUAAAGGCUAUUGAUCGAGGUGACAUUCUCGCCCUCCAAGAGCUGUCAGAAUUUCAAGAAGGCUUCAGUGAGGCAGAUGACAGGGGCUGGUACCCUCUGCACAAGGCAGCUGUCCAACCUCUGGUGAAAAUGCUGGAGAUAGUGUUGUGUGCGUCUUUUAGGUUGUCCCUGUAGGAGAAGACAAUGGAGGGAGAAACACUGCUAACUCCAGCAGCUAUGGCUGGUCUGGUGGACAAUGUGAAGAUGAUACUUGAACAUGGAGCGUCUCCCCAUAACACCAACAGCAAGAAAGAAUCCCCUCUACUGCAGACGGCGGGAGGGAUAUCUGACCUUUUCAUCCAUGUAACGCUUGAUGUAGUGGGUGUGGAGUCAGGCGCAGGAAACAAGAGCGCUUGCUAUCGUGUUCCCCGUAUGCUGUAUGAUGCUGCACAAUCUGGGAAUCCAGACUGUAUAGAUUUCCUUCUGCGACAUGGAGCCAGCCCCAAUGUACCUAGCCUGUGCUCAGAGCUACCCAUUCAUCGAACAGCAUAUGAGGGCCAUUACCUGUGAGUACAACCUGUCACUGAGAAUUUUUAUUCUGAUAGAAGGGCAAUCAGACUUUCAGGCCAGAGUUCCAUUCACUCUGCAGCCGACGGAGUCCAUGUACAAUGCCUGGAGAUACUCGUGGAAAAGGGCUUUGAUGUCAACUCUCUCCUAGACUUUCACAUCGCUGAAGACUACAGAGACAUGAGAAAAAGUGCAUUGUACUUUACUGUCUCUAAUGGAGACGUGACCUGCACUGAAAUACUGCUGAACACAGGAGACAAAACUGACCUGGCCGCUCUAUUCUGCCUCCUGGUGGCGGUGAGAGAUGGGCAGUACGAGAUUGUGAAGCUGCUUUUGGCCAGACAGGCAGACAUCAUUUGUUACUUUGCCGUGGUGGGUGACACAGUAUUUCCCACGGCUCUGCAGUACUGCCUGCGGGACGAGAUGAUGAUGCGUCUGCUGCUCAACAACGGCUAUGACGCAGAUAAAUGUUUCUGCUGUACCCAUGACAGCACCUGGGAUGACCUGAGUGACCAGACUGAUUCCAAUUAUCAAGAAAAAGUUUCUUUCUGUAAUUUCAUCAGAGUUUCCUGGCUGGUGCACUUGGCUGGGAGAGCAGUGUGGAUCCUUCUGGACUACGUCAGUCACGUGCCUCUCUGUCCAAAGCUGAGACAGAUCCUGGAUAAGCACAAAGAGUGGCCUUAGAUCAGCUACAUAUUAGGUGGGUAGUUUGAUCAAAUUUAAAGGAAAAAACAAGAUAAAUGUGUAGGCAAUGCAAUGGCCAUGAGUAGGGGACAUGGCCCACUAAAAACCCAAACUACCUUUGCUCCUGAACCUGAAACCUCUCUUCUGUCUUACUUCUCUGACCAAGCGAAAUCCCGUUCACUGACACAUCUGUGCAGACUGGUGAUCAGGAAACAGAUGACUCCAAAGAGACUGGAGGAUCCAAACAUCAGGGACUCCGCCCCCUUCCCACCCAGACUUUUUUAAAUUCACCUUUAAAUAAAUGUCACCUUUAUUUAACCAGGUAGGCCAGUUGAGAACAAGUUCUCAUUUACAACUGCGACCUGGCCAAGAUAAAGCAAAGCAGUGCGACACAAACAACACAGAGUCACACAUGGGAUAAACAAACAUACAGUCAAUAACACAAUGGAAAUGUCUACAUACAGUGUGUGUAAAUGUAGUAAGAUUAGGGAGGUAAGGCAAUAAAUAGGCCAUAGUGGCAAAAUAAUUACAAUUUAGCAAUUAACACUGGAGUGAUAGAUGUGCAGAAGAUGAAUGUGCAAGUAGAGAUACUGGGGUGAAAAAUGGCACAAAAAAAUAAUAACAACAUGGGGAUGGGGUAGUUGGGUGGGCUAUUUACAGAUGGGCUAUGUACAGGUGCAAUGAUUGGUAAGCUGCUCUGACAGCUGAUGCUUAAAGUUAGUGAGGGACAUAUAAGUCUCCAGCUUCAGUGAUGUUUACAAUUUGUUCCAGUCAUUGGCAGCAGAGAACUGAAAGGCGGCCAAAGGAGGAGUUGGCUUUGGGGGUGACCAGUGAAAUAUACCUGCUGGAGCGCGUGCUACGGGUGGGUGCUGCUAUGGUGACCAGUGAGCUGAGAUAAGGCGGGGCUUUACCCAGCUAAGACUUAUAGAUGACCUGGAGCCAGUGGGUUUGGCAACGAAUAUGAAGUGAGGGGCAGCCAACGAGAAAAUACAGGUCGCAGUGGUGGGUAGUAUAUGGGGCAUUGGUGAAAAAACGGAUGGCAUUGUGAUAGACUACAUCCAAUUUGCUGAGAAGAGUGUCAGAGGCUAUUUUGUAAAUGACAUUGCCGAAGUCAAGGAUCGGUAGGAUAGUCAGUUUUACGAGGGCAUGUUUGGCAGCAUGAGUGAAGGAUGCUUUGUUGCGAAAUAGGAAGACGAUUCUAGAUUUAAUUUUGGAUUGGAGAAGCUUAAUGUGGGUCUGAGUAGUCUAGAGUAGUGAAGCCAGACGGGCGGGUGCGGGCAGCGAUCGGUUGAAGAACAUGCAUUUAGUUUUGCUUGCAUUUAAGAGCAGUUGGAGGCCACGGAUGGAGUGUUUUACAACAUUGAAGCUCAUCUGGAGGUUUGUUAACACAGUGUGCAAAGAUGAGUCAGAAGUAUACAGAAUGGUGUCGUCUGCGUAGAGGUAGAUCAGAGAAUCACCAGCAGCAAGAGCGACAUCAUUGAUGUAUACAGAGAAAAGAGUCGGCCAAAGAAUUAAACCUUUGGGCACCCCCAUAGAGACUGCCAGAGGUCAGGACAACAGGCCCUCCGAUUUGACACACUGAACUCUACCUGAGAAGUAGUUGGUGAACCAGGCAAGGCAGUCAUUUGAGAAACCAAGGCUGUUGAGUCGUCCGAUAAGUAUGCGGUGAUUGACAGAGUCGAAAAUCUUGGCCAGGUCGAUGAAUAUGGCUGCACAGUAUUGUCUUUUAUCGAUCGCGGUUAUGAUAUCGUUUAGGACCUUGAGCGUGGCUGAGGUGCACCCAUGACCAGCUCGGAAACCAGAUUGCAUAGCGGAGAAGGUACAGUGGGAUUCGAAAUGGUCGGUGAUCUGUUUGUUAACUUUGCUUCCGGUGACUUUAGAAAGGCAGGGUAGGAUAGAUAUAGGUCUGUAACAGUUUGGGUCUGGAGUGUCACCCACUUUGAAGAGGGGGAUGGCCGCAGCAGUUUUCCAAUCUUUAGGGAUCUCAGAUGAUACGAAAGAGAGGUUGAACAGGCUAGUAAUAGGGGUUGCAACAAUUGCGGCGGAUAAUUUUAGAAAGAGAGGGUCCAGAUUGUCUAGCCUAGCUGAUUUGUAGGGUCCAGAUUUUGUAGCUCUUUCAGAAUAUCAGCUAUCUGGAUUUGGGUGAAGGAGAAAUGGGGGAGGCUUGGGUAAGUUGCUGUGGGGGGUGCAGAGCUGUUGACCGGGGUAGGGGUAGCCAGGUGGAAAGCAUGGCCAGCCGUAGAAAAAUGCUUAUUGAAAUUCUCGAUUAUCGUAGAUUUAUUGGUGAUGACAGUGUUUUCUAGCCUCAGUGCAGUGGGCAGCAGGGAGGAGGUGCUCUUAUUCUCCAUGGACUUUACAGUGUCCCAGAACUUUUUGGAGUUUGUGCUACAGGAUGCACAUUUCUGUUUGAAAAAACUAGCCUUUGUUUUCCUAACUGCCUGUGUAUAUUGGUUCCUAACUUCCCUGAAAAGUUGCAUAUCGCGGGGGCUGUUCGAUGCUAAUGCAGUAUGCCACAGGAUGUUUUUGUGCUGGUCAAGGGCAGUCAGGUCUGGAGUGAACCAAGGGCUAUAUUUGUUCUUAGUUUUAAAAAAACUGAAUGGGGCAUGCUUAUUUAAGAUGGUGAGGAAAGCAUUUUUAAAGAAUAACCAGGCAUCCUCUACUGAUGGAAUGAGGUCAAUAUCCUUCCAGGAUACCCGGGCCAGGUCGAUUAGAAAGGCCUGCUCGCUGAAGUGUUUUAGGGAGUGUUUGACAGUGAUGAGGGGUGGUUUGACCGUGGACCCAUUACGGAUGCAGGCAAUGAGGCAGUGAUCGCUGAGAUCCUGGUUGAAGACAGCAGAGGUGUAUUUAGAGGGCAGGUUGAUCAGGAGGAUAUCUAUGAGGGUGCCCAUGUUUACGGAUUUAGGGCUGUACCUGGUGGGUUCCAUGAUAAAUUGUAUAAGAUUGAGGGCAUCUAGCUUAGAUUGUAGGAUGGCCGGGGUGUUAAGCAUAUCCCAGUUUAGGUCACCUAACAGUACAAACUCCGAAGAUAAAUGGGGGGCAUUUAAUUCACGUAUGGUGUCCAGGGCACAGCUGGGGGCUGAGGUGAGUCUAUAACAAGCAGCAACAGUGAGAGACUUAUUUCUGGAGAGGUGGAUUUUUAAAAGUAGAAGCUCGAACUGUUUGGGUACAUACCUGGAUAGCAUGACAUAACUCUGCAGUAGAUUGCAACUCCACCCCCUUUGGCAGUUCUUUCUUGCCGGAAAAUAUUGUAGUUGGGGAUGGAAAUUUGUGGCAUUCCUAAGCCAGGAUUCAGACACGGCUAGGACAUCAGGGUUGGCAGAGUGUGCUAAAGCAGUGAAUAAAGCAAAUUUAGGGAGGAGGCUUCCGAUGUUAACAUGCAUGAAACCAAGGCUUUUGCGGUUACAGAAGUCAACAAAUGAUAGCGCCUGGGGAAUAGGAGUGGAACUAGGGGCUACAGGGCCAGGGUUAACUUCUAGGAGGAACAGAGGAGGAGUAGGAACAGGGAACAGGGUGGGAACAGGGUAGGAACCGGGUACGGCUAAAGGCUAUAAGAACUGGUCGUCUAGUGCGUUGGGGACAGAGAAUAAAAGGAGCAGAUUUCUGGGCAUGGUAGAAUAGAUUCAAGGCAUAAUGUACAGACAAGGAUAUGGUAGGAUGUGAGUACAGUGGAGGUAAACCUAGGCAUUGAGUGACGAUGAGAGAGGUUUCGUCUCUGGAGGGACAAGUUAAGCCAGGUGAGGUCUCUGCAUGUGUAUGGGGUGGGACGGAAGAGCUAUCUAAGGAAUUUUGAGCGGGACUGAAGGCUCUACAGUGAAAUAAAACAGUAAAAACUAGCCAAGACAGCAGUAGACAAGGCAUAUUGACAUUAGAGAGAGGCAUAAAGCAAUCACAGGUGUUGAUCAGGAGAGCUAAGACAGCAAUGGAAACAUGGCGAUGAAUGGGCAGAGUGGGUCAGUUAGGUACAUACAGGACCCGAGUUCGAGGCUGGGGCCGACAGGUAAACAAAAUGAGGUACCGUGUUCUUGAAACAGUCCAGGGGGCAUAGCUGUGUAGCAGAGUGAUCAUACGGUCAAAAGAACAGCAAUAGGUGAGUCAGGUUGCCGUUUUCUAGUCACUACUACGCUAGGCGAGCAGGGGACACAGCGUUCUGAAAAGUUAGCAUGUUGGGGCUAGUAGCUGGUUCUUCGGCGACAUCGUAACAAAAUAGCCUGCUGAGACCACAUCGAGCAAUCACGUCGGCAGUCCAGUCGUGAUGGAUCGACGGGGCUCCGUGUUGACAAUAAAGGGUCCAGGCCAAUUGGCAAAGGAGGUAUUUUAGCCCUAGAAUUAGCUGGUAUAUGGGCCUAGCUCACGGCUAGCUGGUGCUUGCUUUGGGACAGAGGCAUUAGCUAACAGUAGCCACUCGUUUGCAGCUAGCUAGCUAGAACUGAAGGAAUAGACUGAAGGAAUACCUAUUCUACAAAGAAAAUGAUUUGUAUGGCAAAAUUAUAUGUAUGGACAAGUGAAAGUCUGUUGUGUUUAAUAGUUAGGGUGAGGCACAAUGAAAUAGUUCACAUAAGGAAGGAGGGAUGAUGGUUCUUAUAGUAAAUGAUGGCAUUUACUUGGAUCCAGAAUAAGAAUAUGUAUGUUUAUUUUAUUUAUAAAGAGACUAGACCACUUAACAAUGAGAACAAUCAUCUGUAUUCAUAAACUCGUCUUAAAAGUAUACUUUCAUUUUGCAACGUCGUUUUUCAAUAAUUUAUUUAUUUUCAUUUACUGUUCGUCUUUGCUUUUACAGUGAAUUGAAUUCAUGGCAAUAAGACUCAUUCCAUGUUGCUGUUGUUUUUAAAACAACUUAUAUUAUAUUGUUAGUACCGAAACUGACACCUGUCUAGAUGUUGGCUAUCUAAUUAAAUAUUUGGAUUAUCAAAACAUUGAGGUUAAUGCUGAUUACUGACACCAGUUGAUUGCUGCAUGGAACAUCACAACACUUCAGGAGUGAAGUGGAAUGACCUGCAUUCCUUAAGUGACAGAUAGUGAAAGCAGGUCAACUCUAAUUAUAACCAUAUAUUGCCUGGAGUGCAAACAACAAACAUGCACUCUAACCUGAUAAUGGCAGACCUCUGACUUCCAUGUGAAAAAAUGAUACCAUGUUAACACCAGAAAUGAUUUUAUAUGGAUUGAAAAUACAAAAUACAAAACAGGAGCCAUUGAGGAGGUAGCAUACUUCAGUCAAUUGUCUUCCUGAGUUUCUUAAAUGUUUCACUGUCCUCCCAAUAUGUUGUAAUCUUCCACUAGAGGGCAACAUUAGCAUUUAUGCUAUACACCUAUGCUCACUAGUUUGCGGAACCCAUGGAAAUGUCCUGGGGGAAUAUGGGACCUUGAACUGUUCAUGGUCAAUCUACUCAAAAUUGGACAUUGCCUGGUCUUGUUUGGGUAGUAACUGCCAUAGAUAUUAGAUCACUGUC
rnacentral:lncRNA from 1 species